ensembl:lncRNA
GUUUGAGUCUCCUAGUGUACAGUGUUGAUUUAGCCCUGAAAAUACUAUUUUUCUCCUGUUAUAAUUGUACUUGUGUUCUGUUUGCCAUCUCUGUCACUAGAGGUGGUUGUCCUUGGACCUUAUUAAGUUGGUUGUCCCUGACAGGUCAUUGUCAUCAUUGGUUCCUGAAUAAAAUAUUAACCUUUUAAGUCAGAAGGAACCUCAGUGCUUCUUAGGGUUUUGUUUUGUUUUUAAGCCAGAGAAUAAAGAACUGUUUGAAUAUGAGGUUUCUGUAAAAUUUUCUACAAAACAACAUAGAUGAAUUUGAAGGUAGAAUAAUGUGUAAAUUAUUUUUAAAUGUAAGUAAAUUCUCUGACUUGGUAACUGUUCUGAAUACACUGCGUUUAAGAAUUCUUUAAAACUUGGUUUUUCUAAAAUUCAGAAAUGUCCAAAUUAGGCAUAUUGCUGAGCUCAAAUUGAUUUGAAGUGCCAUGGUUCAAGUUGAACUUUAAAUAUUUCAAUUUAGUUGUAAAUAAUGUGAUAUAUGCCUGAUUGAUUAUAAUAGGAACCCAUGACAUAUUUAGCCAAAGAAUAUAUUUGGUUCAGGUGAAGACUGAAGCUUAAUAAUGGGUAUCCAUUUCUAUUUUAAAAAGGAUUUUAGUGAAGAAAUCUGUUUGUGGCCUGUAGCGCUCUAUAUGGAAGUCUUUGUAAAGACUGAACACCCUGAGCCAGCUCCAUGGUAAUCCGUGGUAUGAACUAGGAGGUGUAGCUUGUGUAUUACACCUUCAGUGAGGCUUACACUGAGUACUAUCUCCCAUCCUCACACACUGUGUCUGGGUCUUCACCUGUUCCCAGGCCUUCCUAGCAGCAGGGAGGUUUGGUUUCCUCUUCAGUCUGUGUUCUUAGACCUCUCAGCUGUUCGGCACUGUCAGUGUGCCCUCACAGCUGAUGUUUCUAGUCUGAAGUUAAGCACCACAUCUAUACCAUGUACCUACUGGGGAUCUGACCUCAAGUGUGCUCUGAGCCCAGGCUGCCUGGUGUGGAGUCUUCUGCCACAAAGUUACUAUGACUGAUUGCAAAUGUUGGUAUUGUGAUUUCAUUCUCUGUACAAAGAAAGAAGCUCUAUGCAGUGAGUUUGUGGUUUAAUGGUCACAAAAUGUUAGGACUGCUACAUUCAGUACAUGUAAAAUUUUUUAAAUUUAUAAAUAUUAAACUUUUAAACUUACUCUAAGACUUUUCAGUUUUUUUUAAGAGACCCAGGGACAAGUGUACUAUUUAAAUAUUUACCUCUAUUAACAUAACUAAUAAAGGUAUAACAUGUUUAAUUUUUCAAGAGAUGCUGCAAUAUCAUUUUAGGAAAUAAGGAUGUGUAUUGAGCCACAAGUGGAGUAUCAAAUUGAUAAAAAUUUUAUUUGUAUUUUUUAAAUCCAUACAUGGGAGUUAAAAUAUGUCUUUUCACUAAAUAUUUUAUUACAUU